GAUGAACGCUGGCGGCGUGCCUAAUACAUGCAAGUCGAGCGAACAGACGAGGAGCUUGCUCCUCUGACGUUAGCGGCGGACGGGUGAGUAACACGUGGAUAACCUACCUAUAAGACUGGGAUAACUUCGGGAAACCGGAGCUAAUACCGGAUAAUAUAUUGAACCGCAUGGUUCAAUAGUGAAAGACGGUUUUGCUGUCACUUAUAGAUGGAUCCGCGCCGCAUUAGCUAGUUGGUAAGGUAACGGCUUACCAAGGCGACGAUGCGUAGCUGACCUGAGAGGGUGAUCGGCCACACUGGAACUGAGACACGGUCCAGACUCCGACGGGAGGAAGCAGUAGGGAAUCUUCCGCAAGGGGGGAAAGCUUAACGGAGCAACGCCGCGUGAGUGAUGAAGGUCUUCGGAUCGUAAAACUCUGUUAUUAGGGAAGAACAAAUGUGUAAGUAACUAUGCACGUCUUGACGGUACCUAAUCAGAAAGCCACGGCUAACUACGUG
rnacentral:rRNA from 1 species